GGGACUUCAUCUAGCAACCAGCGAAUCAUCCCUUACCAAAGAUGUGUUUCAGAUUUACCAUCCCGAGGUGGGGGGAAGUUAAAAGAGGAUCUCUCAUUGCCCGGGAUGGCACUGAGUUUGCCAAGCAGCUGAAGAAGACCUUGAAGGCUGGAACCCAUUGUCUCUACCUCUAGGGUGCUGUGAUUACAGGUGCUUGACUUGGAUCUUAGAUGUUCCCAGGAAACGUG